UGGGUAACCUACCAUCGAGUGGGGAAUAACCAGCCGAAAGGUUGGCUAAUACCGCGUACGCCUCCGAAUCUUCGGAUUUGGAGGGAAAGCCACACUGAGAGUGUGGCGCUCUUUGAUGGGCUCAUGUCCUAUCAGCUUGUUGGUAGGGUAACGGCCUACCAAGGCUUUGACGGGUAGCUGGUCUGAGAGGACGAUCAGCCACACUGGCACUGCGACACGGGCCAG
rnacentral:rRNA from 1 species